AUUUUUCUGAGGGGAAGAGGUUUUGUAAGCUCUUGAGAAAUUAAGAACUGGAGCAUGGGUAUUCACUUCUGCUCUCACAUUUUAAAGAAAGACGUCACUGAUCUACUACUCUUUUUAUUAUAAAGCUUUCUAGUAGACUCAGUUAAUGUCUUAAUCAAUGGUAAGGGAUGUUAGAUGGUCAAGCGUGCUGCUGGGGAAAGCUGUCACUUGCAAAUAUUUUAAACAAGACAAUUUUAUGGAGAUUGAUGUAGGCAUUGGAUCUUCAUCAUUUACAAGAGGUGUCAUUGGCCUUGUCUUGGGACAUGUCACAAGCUUGGUGAUUGACCUGGCUAUUUUGAUAGAGGUUUGUGUCUUGAUACUAAGGGAUAUGUUUUCUAUUUAUCAACUAGCAUUUCUUCAUUUCGUGUGGUUUAUCUAGUUAUAAUUUAAUUUCAGACCUUUAGAGAAAUAUGCUCUAGAGGGAUUUCUAUGUACAUGAUC